CAGGUGGGAUUACCCGCUGAACUUAAGCAUAUCAAUAAGCGGAGGAAAAGAAACUAACAAGGAUUCCCCUAGUAACGGCGAGUGAAGAGGGAAAAGCCCAAAUUUGUAAUCUGGCUCUUUUAGAGUCCGAGUUGUAAUUUUGAGAACUGUUUUCAGUGCUGGACCAUGUUUAAGUCUGUUGAAAAACAGCAUCAUUGAGGGUGAUAAUCCCGUUCAUGAUAUGGACUACCAGUACUUUAUGAUACAGUCUCUAAGAGUCGAGUUGUUUGGGAAUGCAGCUCAAAGUGGGUGGUAAAUUCCAUCUAAGGCUAAAUAUAGGUGAGAGACCGAUAGCAAACAAGUACCGUGAGGGAAAGAUGAAAAGAACUUUGGAAAGAGAGUUAACAGUACGUGAAAUUGCUGAAAGGGAAACAAUUGAAGUUAGCCUUGUUAUUGUCAGUUCAGCUCUUUUAGAGUGUAUUCUGAUGAUUAACGACCAACAUCAGUCUUUGAGUGCUGGAUAAGGGUUUUGGAAAUGUAGCAGUCUUGGCUGUGUUAUAGUCCAUUACUUUGAUACAGUGCUUGGGAUUGAGGAUCGCAGUAAGCCAAUUUAUGGUGGACCAAAUUUUUGGUCUUCUUACUGAGGAUGUUGGUGAAAUAGCUUAAAAUGACCCA
rnacentral:rRNA from 1 species